CCAGGAGUGCAAACAUGAAGCGUGCAUUGGUGUGUGUGCUGAUGGCUGCCUGGAGCCUUGGAUGUGGCAGCCAGACGGUGCACCAGCCAGCAGAGAAUGUGUACGCCAUGAAAGGCGACUCAGUUAAGCUGGACUGCAGCUAUGAAGAUUCUGGAAGCAACGACUACAUCUUCUGGUACAAACAGGACGGGCAGGCGGCACCAAAGUUCAUUCUGAGCCUCUCCAUGAGGAGUCAGGGCAAGACUGAGAGCAGCUUUGAAAAGAGGUUGAGCUGCAGCGUCAAUGACACCGCCAAGCGAGCUCCUCUGAAAAUCCAAGACGUGCAGCUGAACGACUCUGCUGUCUUCUACUGCGCCAUCCAGCCCACAAUGACUGACAUCUCUGCUGCACCCGCACAAAAACCUCUGUAAGCUCCUCAUUCCACUGUGGCUGUUUGAGAGCUGGUUCUGAGGAGGUUUUCACAGCGUUUGUCCUUGUCAGGACAUCACAAGGGUGGCGAACUGGAGAUAUUUACAUUUAUUUAUGUGAUGGGACACAAGUAGGGGAUUUUAUUUUUUUAUGUUUCAUUGCCAUGCAUGUCUUUGAGUGUUUUUAUUGUUGUGGAUUUUAAUUGCAUGUUUUUACAUUUUAGAAUUUGAUUGCAUUUUUAAUUGCAUGUUUUAUUGCUGUGGAAUUUCGUUGUAUUUUUAAUUGCAUGUUUUUACACGUUGCAGACUUUGAUUGUAUUUUUAAUUGCAUGUUUUUAUUCUAUGUGGACUUUGCUGGCAUUUUAAGACUUUGCCCCUUUUAGCUUGUUGCCCCUGACAACCAAAGUGCCCAAUCGAACGGCACCUGAAAUCAGACACACCUGUGGAGCAUUAGAGCUGCACACAUUUAAAAAGGAGCGACCAGGAGGAUCGAGAGACUUGACAAGGAGGACCGGGUGAACGCGCGCAGGUUGGGAAGGAAUCUCCAGGACUACCCAGCAGACCCGCAUGCUACCGGAGCAAACCCCCAGAAUCCCACAACACACAGGGGCAGAGGAAACUCUGCCUCCAAAGUAAGUGUCGUGCCUUGUGGAUUUGCGGAGGUAUUCAACUGCCUUGGGCUGUGGGCUUGUGGCUCGUGCGUCGUGCGCUGGCUGUGUGGUUCUGUGAGCAGGAGCGAUCGGGACCCGGAGACCUGCGGUGACCCCCGGGAGAGACCAAGAGGCGGAGCGAGCCGGGACAAGUACGGCCACGUAGGUCCCGCGAGUGACCGGAGACUGGCGAGGAGGGUGGGCAUACCCGAUACGCCUACACAGAAUUACAGUAGGGGCAGGGGAAACCCUGCCUUGUGUGUAAGUGUGACGUCAGCCCUGAGAGCGUCUCCGUGUUUUUAAAUUAUUUUAUCCCCGUGGCCUGCCUCCGAUUUUAAUUUGUGUGCAGGAGGCCGCCUUGGAAGUGAGCGGAGCCAGGACACUGACCACGCCUGUCGCGGCUGUACACUGACCAUAUUAUUGUUUCCCAAUUGGUAUUUUUAGUGUUAUUAACUUGACUGUUUUUAAUUUGUAUCGUAAUAAACUGUAAAUCAGCAUCAUUAUAUUUCCUUAUUUUGGGACUGUUGCUCUCACUGCAUUGGGUUCUUAAUAUUUGUAUUAGUUUUUAUCAAAAUUUUAUUAGAUUUUAAAUUUUCACCACUCGGGUCCAUCACAUUUCUGGCGUUACCAGCAGGAUCCAUAUUGUGAGAGCACUGUUCCCAGUAAGGACAAGAUGAUGAUGCCGGUGUAUCCUGGCGCACCUUGGUUGCCCAGAUUUAAAGGGCAUGGUGACGAUCUCAAGUAUUCUGAGUGGAAGGAGCAGAUUAAAGGGCUCCUGGGCAGCCAGGAUAUACCCGAGGCACGAAAAGUAGCCAUUUUGUUGGGAGCGCUUACGGGUGAAGCAAAGCUUUAAAUUUUGGUUUUAGAUACAGACGAGAAGGAUAAUACUCGGAAGAUUUUUUACUUAUUUAAAUUCCUUAUAUGGGGAUCAAACUCUAACACCGGUCUUGAGGGCACAGUUUUUUAGCUGUGCACAAAAACCUGACGAAAAUGUACAAUCAUUCAUUUUGAGGCUGCGCGAACUUCAUUGUAGACUUAAACAGUGUGAUAAUGAUGAUUCCCCCUCCGACAGUGCCCUGCGAGAGCAACUGCUGCUUGGAUUCCGAGACGGACCACUAGUCCAAGCUCUGAGGGUGUAUGCACGACGCAAACCAGGCCAAGACUUCACUGCUCUCCGCACAGAAACUCUCCUAUUGGACUCUGAAUACAGCUCAACGCCAUCGGAGGUAACCUGCUCGGCAGUCAAUAAACAAUUUGCUUCCCCGAGAACCCAAGAAAAUUGGAAAGAGCAGUUGAAGCGGGAGGUCAUGGAGGACGUUAAGGGAUACAUGAAGGGACUCACUCAGGACAUUAUUGCCGUACUAAAACCAGUCAUACAGCCUCCUCCAGCUCGUCUGAACACACCGAUCCCGUCAGAGAUCUUCCAGCAGCGGCGUGUAGCCUACAAUGAACGCGACGAGCAAGGUAGGCCCAUCUGCCGUAACUGUAGAAAGGGGGGGCAUAUAGCCAGGUAUUGUAGCACUGCAACUACACAU